rnacentral:piRNA from 1 species
UGCCUUGGCAUGAGAUGUAGUGUUUGGGU